GAGAAACGCUGGCGGCGCACAUAAGACAUGCAAGUCGAACGGAAUUUAGUCGAAUGUUUACAUGAGACGAAGAUUUAGUGGCGGACGGGUGAGUAACACGUGAGCAACCUACCUUGGAGAGGGGGAUAACAUUGAGAAAUCAGUGCUAAUACCGCAUAAUACUUUUUACUGCAUGGUAGAAAAGUCAAAGGAGUAAUCCACUCUGAGAUGGGCUCGCGGCUGAUUAGCCAGUUGGUGGGGUAACGGCCUACCAAAGCGAUGAUCAGUAGCCGAGCUGAGAGGCACAACGGCCACAUUGGGACUGAGACACGGCCCAGACUCC
rnacentral:rRNA from 1 species